AACAGGAUUAGAUACCCUGGUAGUCCACGCCGUAAACGAUGAGUGCUAAGUGUUAGAGGGUUUCCGCCCUUUAGUGCUGAAGUUAACGCAUUAAGCACUCCGCCUGGGGAGUACGGCCGCAAGGCUGAAACUCAAAGGAAUUGACGGGGGCCCGCACAAGCGGUGGAGCAUGUGGUUUAAUUCGAAGCAACGCGAAGAACCUUACCAGGUCUUGACAUCCUCUGAAAACCCUAGAGAUAGGGCUUCUCCUUCGGGAGCAGAGUGACAGGUGGUGCAUGGUUGUCGUCAGCUCGUGUCGUGAGAUGUUGGGUUAAGUCCCGCAACGAGCGCAACCCUUGAUCUUAGUUGCCAUCAUUAAGUUGGGCACUCUAAGGUGACUGCCGGUGACAAACCGGAGGAAGGUGGGGAUGACGUCAAAUCAUCAUGCCCCUUAUGACCUGGGCUACACACGUGCUACAAUGGACGGUACAAAGGGAAGCGAAGCCGCGAGGUGAAGCAAACCCCAAAAAGCAGGUCCCAGUUCGGAUUGUAGGCUACAACUCGCCUACAUGAAGUCGGAAUCGCUAGUAAUCGCAGGUCAGCAUACUGCGGUGAAUACGUUCCCGGGUCUUGUACACACCGCCCGUCACACCACGAAAGUUGACAACACCCGAAGCCGGUGGGCUAACCGCAAGGGAGCAGCCGUCGAAGGUGGGGUUGAUGAUUGGGGUGAAGUCGUAACAAGGUAGCCGUAUCGGAAGGUGCGGCUGGAUCACCUCCUU
rnacentral:rRNA from 1 species